CCUACGGGAGGCUGCAGUGGGGAAUAUUGCACAAUGGGGGAAACCCUGAUGCAGCGACGCCGCGUGAGUGAAGAAGUAAUUCGUUAUGUAAAGCUCUAUCAGCAGGGAAGAAAAUGACGGUACCUGAUUAAGAAACCCCGGCUAACUACGUGCCAGCAGCCGCGGUAAUACGUAGGGCGCCAGCGUUAUCCGGAUUUACUGGGUGUAAAGGGUGCGUAGACGGCAGUGCAAGUCUGGAGUGAAAGGCGGGGGCUCAACCCCCGGACUGCUCUGGAAACUGUACGGCUAGAGUGCAGGAGAGGUAAGUGGAAUUCCUAGUGUAGCGGUGAAAUGCGUAGAUAUUAGGAGGAACACCAGUGGCGAAGGCGGCUUACUGGACUGUAACUGACGUUGAGGCUCGAAAGCGUGGGGAGCAAACAGGAUUAGAUACCCGAGUAGUC
rnacentral:rRNA from 1 species